rnacentral:rRNA from 1 species
CAGUAGCCGCGGGAAAACGGAGGGGGCUAGCGUUGUUCGGAAUUACUGGGCGUAAAGCGCACGUAGGCGGCUUGGUAAGUUAGAGGUGAAAGCCUGGAGCUCAACUCCAGAAUUGCCUUUAAGACUGCCGAGCUAGCAGGUGAGAGAGGUAAGUGGAAUUCCGAGUGCAGAGGUGAAAUUCGUAAAUAUUCGGAAGAACACCAGUGGCGAAGGCGGCUUACUGGCUCAUACUGGACGCUGAGGUGCGAGAGCGUGGGGAGCAAACAGGAUUAGAUACCCGGGUAGUCCCUGUCUCUUAUAC